rnacentral:rRNA from 1 species
AUGAAAUUCAAUGAUAAUGAUAAUCCUCACAAUAUGCACCCUAGCCAAUGCCUUUAUGAGUUUGAAAAUUACAUUAGAAAGCAAAAUAACUUCAAUGCAAAUGUUAUGAAACAAUUGCAAUACAAUUCUGAUAUGAUUGCUCACUUGAGUGACUUGUUAUUUAGAAUCUCAAAUGAUGUUAGAGGUGUGGGGAAGCAUGCUUCUAUGGUUCAAACUCAGUUAGAACAAGUUGCUAAAUCUCAAACAGAGUUGUUAGAUGAAAUGAAUAAUAAUAUCAAUGAUCAUGCUGUUAGAGUAAUGACUAGAGGAGGUAGGAUGACUCAGGAACCACUCUAUCCGGAAGGACACCCAAAAAUAAUUUAA